ensembl:rRNA 5S_rRNA 5S ribosomal RNA
GUCUACAGUCAUACCAUCCUGAAUGCACUGGAUCUCACUAGAAGCUAAGCAGGGUCAGGCCUGGCUAGUACUUGGAUGGGAGAAAACCACCUAAGCCUGCUUUGUUAACA